CAUUCCAAAUACUAAUACCACUGAGAUAAUAUUUGGGAAUCUGAAGACCAUCGGCAUGUGACCAAGUUACAUUUUGUUCCUUUUGGAGACAUCACACAAGACCAAUGGACUCCAUCUCUUCUUUCAUCCGUAACCCAUAGAUUUUCUCCAUUGGCCAGACAAUCCUGGGUGAACUGAAGGUUUAAAAAUGGUUGACAAAUUAACCAAAUUUGUACCUCUUGGCAAUUACUGAUUAUUCCCAUAGAUUUAUUUUUGGAGUCAUGAAAACAGGAUUAAAGUUUUGGAUUCAUUUGAGUGCUAGGAUGAAGUUACUCUGGGUUUGAAGGGCGUGAUCAUUGGGAUCAGGCAACUCCAACUACUGGAAGGAGGAGCAAAAGCAUCCCUGUCUGCAGACAAAAAGCGACACUAGAUCUACACAGGAAAGACAGAGGAACUGCUGAAGCAGAAGGAACUAAAUCAGUAGAGCUGACAGCAAGAUGUGAUGGGGUGCUAGAUACAGUACCGAUUCCUUCAGAAAUAACUUACAGAUUUGUAACGGGUAAGUGAAUUUAUGAACUACUUCCACAGCCACGUACGCAGAACAGUCUCUCUUUCGGCAGACCUCUGUUUUACAAACUGCCUUUCAUUUUUAAAUAAUUGUCUGCUUUGUAGAGUUUUGGAAUGAUUCAAGCUCGCGCUAAAUGGAAGCCAUAGUUAUUAUCUCAAUGUUGUUCACAGUGAUUUCUUUUCCUGCUGACAUUUGAAACAGCAGCUUAAGAGGGAACCGCCACUUUUUACUAUAAAUUCUGAAACCUGAAUGGAAACAGAAACCAACAGCACUUUGUUCUACUCCAGAUCUUCACCAGAGGAAGACAAAGUCAGUGCGCUCUGCCCACCUAAUAACUCACACAGCCUAUUUUUUCCUCCAUGCCAGUUCUCCAGCUGUCACUGAAAACCCAGGCUUUGUCUUCCUACAGCUUCAGCUGCAUCUGUUGCCUUGACAGGGAAAAAUUUUGCUCCAGAAAAGUGCCAAGUAAGGCACUCUGUAGUCUGAAGAACUAGAAAGACAUUAUCAGAGGACAAUAUUCUGCUGCCGCAUUAUCUCCUGUCCAGCCCUCUGCAAGGCAUAAAGCACACUGUAAGCAUAGUUGCUGAUGUC